rnacentral:rRNA from 1 species
GAUAAUUCUGAGACGUGAUGGGGAAGGUUCCAAGGAACCAAAGUACUUGAUUCCAUGCUUCCAAGAAAAGCGUCUAGAAAGAGAAGUAGUGCCCGUACCGUAAACCGACACAGGUAGGUGAGGAGAGAAUCCUAAGGCCGGCGGAAGAAUCACAGUUAAGGAACUAGGCAAAUUGACCCCGUAACUUCGGGAUAAGGGGUGCCUGCGCGAGCAGGUCGCAGAGAAUAGGCCCAAGCAACUGUUUAGCAAAAACACAGGUCUCUGCUAAAGCGAAAGCUGAUGUAUAGGGGCUGACGCCUGCCCGGUGCUGGAAGGUUAAGGGGAACACUUAGCGCAAGCGAAGGUGUGAACUUAAGCCCCAGUAAACGGCGGCCGUAACUAUAACGGUCCUAAGGUAGCGAAAUUCCUUGUCAGGUAAGUUCUGACCCGCACGAAUGGCGUAAUGAUUUGGGCACUGUCUCAACUGUGAAUCCGGCGAAGUUGUAGUGCGAGUGAAGAUGCUCGCUACCCGCGAUUGGACGGAAAGACCCCGUAGAGCUUUACUGUAGCUUAGCAUUGAAUUUCGGUAUUGUCUGUACAGGAUAGGUGGGAGACUGGGAAACCAGAGCGUCAGCUUUGGCGGAGUCACCCUUGGGAUACCACCCUGAUAGUACUGAGGUUCUAACUGGAUGCCAUGAAUCUGGUGACAGGACAUUGUUAGGUGGGCAGUUUGACUGGGGCGGUCGCCUCCGAAAGUGUAACGGAGGCGCCCAAAGGUUCCCUCAGAACGGUCGGAAAUCGUUCGAAGAGUGCAAAGGCAGAAGGGAGCCUGACUGCGACACCCACAAGUGGAGCAGGGACGAAAGUCGGGCUUAGUGAUCCGGUGGUACCUCGUGGGAGGGCCAUCGCUCAACGGAUAAAAGCUACCUCGGGGAUAACAGGCUGAUCUCCCCCAAGAGUCCACAUCGACGGGGAGGUUUGGCACCUCGAUGUCGGCUCGUCGCAUCCUGGGGCUGAAGUAGGUCCCAAGGGUUGGGCUGUUCGCCCAUUAAAGCGGCACGCGAGCUGGGUUCAGAACGUCGUGAGACAGUUCGGUCCCUAUCCGUCGUGGGCGUAGGAAAUUUGAGAGGAGCUGUCCUUAGUACGAGAGGACCGGGAUGGACUGACCUCUGGUGCACCAGUUGUUCCGCCAGGAGCACAGCUGGGUAGCUAAGUCGGGAAGGGAUAAACGCUGAAAGCAUCUAAGCGUGAAGCCCACCUCAAGAUGAGAUUUCCCAUAGCGUAAGCUAGUAAGACCCCUUGAAGAACACAAGGUUGAUAGGUCAGAGGUGUAAGUGUGGUAACAUAUUUAGCUGACUGAUACUAAUAGGUCGAGGGCUUAACC